AGAUUGUGCCAUAGAAUUCUCACAAAUUAAAUUUAUCUUCCAAGUUGAGGAAAAAGGACAUAACAAAGAGGAACCAACAAGAGGGAACACAAGAAUACUGUCAAGAAGCAUUUCUUCAUCUACAGUAGUGUGGCUGGACAAAAUGACAUACCACUUCCAGUAGAAUCCAUGCAGCAUCAACAGUGUAUUCAGCCAAGUCUCAGACUGCAUUUCAGAUCCAAACCUGGGAGAGAUGAAGUCUGUUGUUCUCUGAAUCUUGACCAGUUGGGGACUCUGUUGUUAAUUACCAUCUACAGAAGAAAGAACAUUCACUGAUGGGAACUGAGUGAUUCACUUCUCUAGUAGUAUAAUGAUAAGCAACUAUAAAUAGAUCCAAUACGAUGCCAUUUAGC
rnacentral:lncRNA from 1 species